rnacentral:rRNA from 1 species
AACGAACGCUGGCGGCAGGCUUAACACAUGCAAGUCGAGCGAGACCUUCGGGUCUAGCGGCGGACGGGUGAGUAACGCGUGGGAACGUGCCCUUCUCUACGGAAUAGCCCCGGGAAACUGGGAGUAAUACCGUAUACGCCCUUUGGGGGAAAGAUUUAUCGGAGAAGGAUCGGCCCGCGUUGGAUUAGGUAGUUGGUGGGGUAAUGGCCCACCAAGCCGACGAUCCAUAGCUGGUUUGAGAGGAUGAUCAGCCACACUGGGACUGAGACACGGCCCAGACUCCUACGGGAGGCUGCAGUGGGGAAUCUUAGACAAUGGGGGCAACCCUGAUCUAGCCAUGCCGCGUGAGUGAUGAAGGCCUUAGGGUUGUAAAGCUCCUUCAGCUGGGAAGAUAAUGACGGUACCAGCAGAAGAAGCCCCGGCUAACUCCGUG